UCUUGUCUCUCUCUCUGUCAAACUGAUCAAAAGAGAUUAUUCACAUUACGUUUCCAUCAUUGCUUUCUUUGUUCCUUUCCACUUGCACCUUCUUCUAAAGCAGGUAGGACCAAAUCCAUCCUCUACACAACGCCUCUCUCUCUCUCUCACGCACACAGAUACAUACAAUUUCGGUCUCUAUAUAUAAAUGAAGAUACUAACAGCUCAGGAAGAUGAACGCGUUUGCCUUUGUGUUACCGCUGCUGCUACUGUUGCUAACGUGGAUCAGCGGCGCCUGAAGAUGACUCUCGUCCAGAACGCUUCGUCGAUCUCUCUCACACAUCGUGAUUGAUCCGAUCUCGCAGUUAACAAUUUAUUACUGAUUUGGAAAAAAAUCGUUUAGAUUGCUUGGACGGAGGAUACGGAGGAGCGGGGGCGAGCAAUAAUUUGAGGGUGGUGGGUGGUGCAACGACCUCAAAUCCUGCCUCGACCGAGCCACUACGAUCCACUCGUCUCAUGUCUAAGAAUUUCCAUGGACAACAACAUUUCUUCUUAAUUAAUUCAUGUGUAUUUGGAAUCUCACUGAAUAGAUUUUUACAACUGGAACCGUGUAAAGCUAAGAUACUGCGAUGGUGCCUCAUUUGGUGGGGAUGCUGUAUUUGAUAAUGGAACAUCAUUGCUUUAUUUCAGAGGGCAAAGAAUCUGGCAAGCAAUCAUUCUUGAUCUUCUCCCAAAAGGCUUAGGCCAAGCAAAAAAGGCUUUGUUAUCUGGUAGCUCAGCCGGGCUCUUUCUUGAUGCGUAAGCUCUUAGUCAUUUGCAUUUGUUUGAUCCUUUAUGAUCUGAUUGUUAACUCUUGCGGACGAGACGUUGCUAUGAACCACAGCAUGAGAUAGUUCUACAACGGCGUAGUCUCUCUGCAGGUUUUGUGACGUUAUAUUUCCGCAUUUCAAUUCUACAGGGUGUCGAAAAGAACCUGGAUAUAAAUUGCAGGAGUAAUGGUUAUCC